GUCUUUAAUUUUUCCUUUUAUGUUGAUUUUUCGAUGUGGUGUAAUUCAUCAUUCGGCUAUAUUUACUUAUCUGCCAAAAAAAAAAAAAUCUGAUAAAUUAUGAUUCUAAUACAUUUAUGUAACUUUUACCCCCCCCUCCUCUUCCCUAUUUUGUCAAUAUUUGGAGGUUUUGUUUAUGUAUGGAUGAAUAAAACACAGUUACUGAUCAUAGAUCUACAUAGUAAUAGGCUUGUUAUGUAACUAUUCUGUUAUUCCAAUUUCAGUGAUUUUUUGGGUGCACAGUAGAGCUAGUUAGCAUCGAGUGAUGCUAAACAUGCAGUGUUUGUUUUUUCUCCUCAGGUUAAUAGGUACACUGUUGUCAUACAUGGAAAACCCUAGGAACUAUUUUCUACAGAUUGACACAUGAUAGGGCUGGUUGGGUGCAGCUUAUUGGAGUUUGUUAUACCUUUUUAUUUUGAAAAUAUGGAUAUUUCUCGAGUAGCAGUUUGCUUCUUGCGGAAUACAGGCGUGUGAAGAUUGCGAUUUACUUUUGUUUUUGUUGUCCAUGGAAGAAUCAUGAGGGAAACUUUUAUUUUUGAUUUACGUUAUUUUGAAUUCUGAACAAUAUUAUGUAUUUAAACAUUGUGUAUGUAUUAUGCAAUAUUAUGUAGUAGGAUAAUUUUGCUAAUGUGUUGUAAUGAAUGAAUGCAAGAAUAUUUGUAUUA